UAAGACGAAGGUGGCGAGCGUUACUCGGAAUUACUAGGCGUAAAGCGUGGGCAGGCGGUUCGGUUAGUCUGUUGUGAAAGCCCCGGGCUCAACCCGGGGAGGCCAAUGGAUACUGCCGGACUUGAAUGUGAGAGAGGUGACUGGAAUUCCCGGUGUAGCGGUGAAAUGCGUAGAGAUCGGGAGGAACACCAAUGGCGAAAGCAGGUCACUGGAUCACUAUUGACGCUCAUCCACGAAAGCUGGGGGAUCAAACAGGAUUAGAUACCCUGGUAGUCCCAGCCAUAAACGAUGCUCAUUAGGUAUGGGAGGUAUCGACCCCUCCCGUGCCGACGCUAACGCAUUAAAUGAGCCGCCUGGGGAGUACGGCCGCAAGGUUG
rnacentral:rRNA from 1 species